AUUGAACGCUGGCGGCAUGCCUUACACAUGCAAGUCGAACGGUAACGGGCCUUCGGGUGCCGACGAGUGGCGAACGGGUGAGUAAUGCAUCGGAACGUACCUUUCAGUGGGGGGAUAACGUAGCGAAAGUUACGCUAAUACCGCAUAUUCUGUGAGCAGGAAAGCAGGGGAUCGCAAGACCUUGCGCUGAUUGAGCGGCCGAUGUCAGAUUAGCUAGUUGGUGAGGUAAAGGCUCACCAAGGCGACGAUCUGUAGCGGGUCUGAGAGGAUGAUCCGCCACACUGGAACUGAGACACGGUCCAGACUCCUACGGGAGGCAGCAGUGGGGAAUUUUGGACAAUGGGGGCAACCCUGAUCCAGCCAUGCCGCGUGAGUGAAGAAGGCCUUCGGGUUGUAAAGACUCUUUCGGCCGGGAAGAAAUCGUAUGGGUUAAUACCUCGUGCGGAUGACGGUACCGGCAUAAGAAGCACCGGCUAACUACGUAGCCAGCAGCCGCGGUAACG
rnacentral:rRNA from 1 species